GACGAACGCUCGCGGCGUGCUUAACACAUGCAAGUCGAGCGGAAAGGCCCUGCUUUUGUGGGGUGCUCGAGUGGCGAACGGGUGAGUAACACGUGAGUAACCUGCCCUUGACUUUGGGAUAACUUCAGGAAACUGGGGCUAAUACCGGAUAGGAGCUCCUGCUGCAUGGUGGGGGUUGGAAAGUUUCGGCGGUUGGGGAUGGACUCGCGGCUUAUCAGCUUGUUGGUGGGGUAGUGGCUUACCAAGGCUUUGACGGGUAGCCGGCCUGAGAGGGUGACCGGCCACAUUGGGACUGAGAUACGGCCCAGACUCCUACGGGAGGCAGCAGUGGGGAAUAUUGCACAAUGGGCGGAAGCCUGAUGCAGCAACGCCGCGUGCGGGAUGACGGCCUUCGGGUUGUAAACCGCUUUCGCCUGUGACGAAGCGUGAGUGACGGUAAUGGGUAAAGAAGCACCGGCUAACUACGUG
rnacentral:rRNA from 1 species